AAAAUAAUAAAUUUUAAUGACAUUCGUAGAGAAAUUAAAUAGUCAUAGAAACAGGACUAACCGAUGAAAAGGUGUCGAACUUUUGAGUCUCACAAAUGGUUGCAUUGAUAUCUCCAUGUAGCAGAAAUUGUGCCAUCACUUAUACCUGCAAGUAAAGAUGAUGCAAUUAAAGUUCAAAAGAAAGCAGGCUAAGGUUUAGAAUAACUAGAUGGCCAUGAAAAUUAAAUCAAACUUGAAAAGAAAAUAAGAAAAGAUUGUGAGAGUAGUUCAGACUUGGGACUUGGGAGAGUUGAGA
rnacentral:lncRNA from 1 species